rnacentral:tRNA from 1 species
GCCCCGUUCGUCUAGCGGCCUAGGACGUCGCCCUCUCACGGCGGUAACACCGGUUCAAAUCCGGUACGGGGUACAA